GCUUGUCUCAAAGAUUAAGCCAUGCAUGUAUAAGUUUAAUCGUUUAUCGAGAAACCGCGAACGGCUCAUUAGAAUGGCCAUUAUUUACUUGAUCUUGAUUGUCUAAAUGGAUAACUGUGGAAAAGCUAGAGCUAAUACAUGCACUAAAGCUUUGUCCUUWCGGAAAAGCGCAUUUAUUAGAACAAAACCACGCGGCUUCGGCUGCUUCUUGUUGACUCAGAAUAACUWAGCUGACCGCAUGGCCUUGUGCCGGCGGCGUGUCUUUCAAGCGUCCACUUUAUCAACUUGACGGGAGCAUAAUCGACUCCCGUGGUGGUGACGGAUAACGGAGGAUCAGGGUUCGACUCCGGAGAAGGGGCCUGAGAAAUGGCCACUACGUCUAAGGAUGGCAGCAGGCGCGCAAAUUACCCACUCUCGGCUCCAGGAGGUAGUGACGAGAAAUAACGAGACUGUUCUCUUUGAGGCCGGUCAUCGGAAUGGGUACAAUUUAAACCCUUUAACGAGUAUCAAGCAGAGGGCAAGUCUGGUGCCAGCAGCCGCGGUAAUUCCAGCUCUGCAAAUACAUAGAAUUAUUGCUGCGGUUAGAAAGCUCRUAGUUGGAUUCGUAUCGRUACCUUGGAACCCUUCGGGUGUCUCURGGUGUUAUCGAUUUAUCGUAAUGUUCGGUCUUGAGUCCUUAACAGGAUUCUUAACAGGCAUUGCAAGUUUACUUUGAACAAAUCAGAGUGCUUCAAACAGGCGUUUUCGCUUGAAUGAUCGUGCAUGGAAUAAUAGAAAAUGAUUUCGGUUCAGUUUUAUUGGUUUUACGGACUGAGAUAAUGGUUAACAGAGACAAACGGGGGCAUUUGUAUGGUCCCGUGAGAGGUGAAAUUCUUGGACCGUGGCCAGACAAACUACAGCGAAAGCAUUUGCCAAGAAUGUUUUUAUUAAUCAAGAACGAAAGUCAGAGGUUCGAAGGCGAUCAGAUACCGCCCUAGUUCUGACCGUAAACGAUGCCAACUAGCGAUCCGCCGAUGGAAAUUAUAUUGCCUUGGUGGGGAGCUUCCCGGAAACGAAAGUCUUCCGGUUCCGGGGGAAGUAUGGUUGCAAAGCUGAAACUAAAGGAAUUGACGGAAGGGCACCCCCAGGAGUGGAGCCUGCGGCUUAAUUUGACUCAACACGGGGAAACUCACCCCGGCCCGGACACUGUGAGGAUUGACAGAUUGAUAGCUUUUUCAUGAUUCAGUGGAUGGUGGUGCAUGGCCGUUCUUAGUUCGUGGAGUGAUUUGUCUGGUUUAYUCCGAUAACGAGCGAGACUCUAACCUACUAAAUAGYUGGUACAUACUCUUAGUGUAUACAGCUUCUUAGAGGGAUUUGCGGYGUUCAGCCGAAAGAAAUUGAGCAAUAACAGGUCUGUGAUGCCCUUAGAUGUCCGGGGCUGCACGCGCGCUACACUGGCAAAAUCAACGUGCUUGUCCUACCCYGAAAGGGGCGGGUAAACCAUUGAAAAUUUGCCGUGAUUGGGAUCGGAAAUUGCAAUUAUUUUCCGUGAACGAGGAAUUCCAAGUAAGUGCGAGUCAUCAGCUCGCGUUGAUUACGUCCCUGCCCUUUGUACACACCGCCCGUCGCUGCCCGGGACUGAGCCAUUUCGAGAAAUUUGGGGACCGUUGAUUUAAUUUUUCUAAAUUACUUUGAUGGAAACCAAUUUAAUCGCAGUGGCUUGAACCGGGCAAAAGUCGUAACAAGGUAGCUGUAGGUGAACCUGCGGCAGGAUCA
rnacentral:rRNA from 1 species